rnacentral:lncRNA from 1 species
UCAGCGCGGGGCGCCGGCCAAUCGCAGAGCUCGGGCCCGCGGUCGCGUCACAGGCCGAACAACCAAACAGAAAAGUUUAAUAAACAGCGGACGGAGGGCCGGCGGCGGCGGCGGGGCCGGAGCGAGCAGGGGUUCGGCGGCCUCACCUGUCCCCACUCUCCGGCGGCGACCGGCGGCGGCGGGCAGCGCGGCGGGCGGGGAGGGCCGCCGCCAGCACCUCCUGUCUCUGAGUUAGGACCUACAUAGUAUGGUCUGAGAAGGGUCUACAUAAGAAGCUACAGGUAAAGGCUUAUGAUUUUAUAUACACAUAUAUGUGUGUGUGUGUGUGUGUGUGUAUGUAUAUAUAUAGUCUGUGUUAGGGGUUUGCUGGAAAUUCAGCUGCAGACUGUGCUGGUCUGACUUAAUGACUAAUGACGCGUCUAUAUUUGCUAACAAAUAUAUGUUAUAAUCUCCUUGGCAGUGUAGGUAAG